CCUACGGGGGGCAGCAGUGGGGAAUAUUGCGCAAUGGGCGAAAGCCUGACGCAGCGACGCCGCGUGAGGGAUGAAGGUCUUCGGAUCGUAAACCUCUGUCAGCAGGGAAGAACGGUCACUGUGCUAAUCAGCAGUGAAUUGACGGUACCUGCAAAGGAAGCACCGGCUAACUACGUGCCAGCAGCCGCGGUAAUACGUAGGGCGCAUGCGUUAUCCGGAUUUACUGGGUGGAAAGGGGGCGUGGGCGGCAAGGUAAGCCAGAAGUGAAAGCCCGCGGCUCAACUGCGGGACUGCGUUUGGAACUAUCUAGCGAGAGUGGAGGAGAGGUAAGUGGAAUUCCUGGUGUAGCGGUGAAAUGCAUAGAUAUUAGGAGGAACACCAGUGGCGAAGGCGGCUUACUGGACUGUAAAUGACGCUGAGGCUCGAAAGCGUGGGGAGCGAACAGGAUUAGAUACCCCGGUAGUC
rnacentral:rRNA from 1 species